rnacentral:rRNA from 1 species
AGCGAACGUUUGCGGCGGGCCUAACACAUGCAAGUCGAACGAUAACCCAGCUUGCUGGGGGAAAGUGGCGCACGGGUGCGUAACACGUGGGUAAUCAACCCUUUGGAUCGGGACAACCCGGGGAAACUCGGGCUAAUACCGGAUAAGUCGUGGGAGCUCUCGGGCACCCACGGGAAAGGUCCGCAAGGGCUACCAAUGGACGAGCUCGCGGCCCAUCAGCUUGUUGGUGAGGUAAUGGCUCACCAAGGCUAAGACGGGUAGCUGGUCUGAGAGGAUGAUCAGCCACACUGGAACUGAGACACGGUCCAGACUCCUACGGGAGGCAGCAGUGGGGAAUAUUGCGCAAUAGGCGAAGACCNGACGCAGCACGCCGCCGUGUGCGAUGAAGGUACGUUCGUAGUCGU